AAACAAUGUCAGCAGUGGCCAAAAGAUCAUCCACGUUACAAGCUGCACGGGUACUGUUGUGACUGUGGCUGUGGUAGCAAGCAUUGGCACUCUACUUCUUGUUUUGGCUGUUUUUCUUGGUGUAAAGCAUUUCAAUAAGAAAACUGACCCCAUGACUGUCAAUAAAGAUCAUAGUGAAGACAAUAUCAUCUACUCAGAUGUUCGAGUGAAACAGCACGCAAGAAAAACACCAUCCGAUUAACAUGCAAAUGGAUUUUUUCAUCAAAUAUUCUUUGUGACCUUGCCUCAACAUUAUGCUCUUUCUGUUUAAAAGUAAGACUGCCUUUAUUGUUCUUUGUUUUCAGUGAUAAUCUUUGUCCCAUUUCUUUCAACCUACUGACCCAAAUCAUAAACUUUAAUUCUGUUAAAAUUUUAACCGAAAUCUAAACCUGUCUGAUCUUGGAGAGUCAAUAAAGUUUACUGGUCAGUAAUACUUCCACACAUGGGCUCAAAUUGCUGAUUUGCUUGUGAUUUUGGGUAUGGGUGCUCACAGCAGAUGUGAGUUGUGGUUCUUGUUUUAGGUCAGUAAUCUUCACUGUGUGGAUUGUCACGACUUUUAGAACCACAAACUACAUGGUUCACCUUUUGUGGCCUUGCUGUUUCGCUGAUUUUUUUGUGCAAUUUUCCAUGUAUUUUUUUU
ensembl:lncRNA